CCAAGGGCUCCAAUGCAUGGCGCCAUUCACUUGACCCAUUAUGUCUUCAUCCAAUGGUGGGAUUAAGAUCCAAUGGUCAAUUAUGGUAGCCAUCCUCUCCAUUAUGUCUUCAUCCAACGGUAGAUCAAGAUCUAACGGUCUAGAUUGAAUGAUUUAUUAAAUCUAAUCCAAUUAGAUUCAAACCAAGCUAAUUAGGUGCCAACUCUUGGCUAAUCCAUAUUAGAACAUGAUCUAAUCAAAUUAGAUCAAUUAAGAAUCGGAUUCGAAUCCAAUUCGAAUCAAGAGCUAAGGAUUUGCAACACCUGCUAGGAUGUCUAUCUUGCAAACAUGAUCUAAUCCAAUUAGACCCUUAAUAAGUUUUCUUGUGUGUGACCCAUUGGGUUUCAUACUUAGCCAGCAAUAGGUGUGAGUGCGAGUUGACCCAACUUGAUUAGAACUCUUCUAAUCGAUUUAAGUCCAAACUGCGCGAACCUGAACUUAACAAUUAGAAUUCUUUUUAAUUGGUGAUCGAAUUAAACUAUUUAAUUCGAUCAAACCUAUAAGACAAGAUUGACGUCUAGUAACGUGUCAUGUCUACCCAGAAAAUAUGGAAUUUGGUGGAAAUACCAAAAAUACUCUUCANN
rnacentral:lncRNA from 1 species